rnacentral:rRNA from 1 species
GAUGAACGCUGGCGGCGUGCCUAAUACAUGCGAGUCGAGCGAACGGACGAGAAGCUUGCUUCUCUGAUGUUAGCGGCGGACGGGUGAGUAACACGUGGAUAACCUACCUAUAAGACUGGGAUAACUUCGGGAAACCGGAGCUAAUACCGGAUAAUAUUUUGAACCGCAUGGUUCAUAAGUGAAAGACGGUCUUGCUGUCACUUAUAGAUGGAUCCGCGCUGCAUUAGCUAGUUGGUAAGGUAACGGCUUACCAAGGCAACGAUGCAUAGCCGACCUGAGAGGGUGAUCGGCCACACUGGAACUGAGACACGGUCCAGACUCCUACGGGAGGCAGCAGUAGGGAAUCUUCCGCAAUGGGCGAAAGCCUGACGGAGCAACGCCGCGUGAGUGAUGAAGGUCUUCGGAUCGUAAAACUCUGUUAUUAGGGAAGAACAUAUGUGUAAGUAACUGUGCACAUCUUGACGGUACCUAAUCAGAAAGCCACGGCUAACUACGUG